rnacentral:rRNA from 1 species
UACGUAGGGUGCAAGCGUUAUCCGGAAUUACUGGGCGUAAAGAGUUUGUAGGCGGUUUCUUAAGUUAGGUGUUAAAUAUAUGGGCUCAACCCAUAUGCUGCAUCUAAUACUGGGAGACUUGAGAGUGGAAGGGGCAGACGGAAUUCACGGUGGAGCGGUGGAAUGCGUAGAUAUCGUGAAGAACACCAAUGGCGAAGGCAGUCUGCUGGGCCACUUCUGACGCUGAGAAACGAAAGCGUGGGGAGCGAUCGGG